rnacentral:lncRNA from 13 species
UGACCUCAAGUGAUCUGCCCACCUUGGCCUCCCAAAGUGCUGGGAUUACAAGUGUGAGCCACGGCUCCCGGCCAAGGCAUAUUUGUUUGGUUACCUGAAAUGCAAGUUUAACACCGGGUGGCCUGUAGUCUGUAUCUUUAUUUUCUAACUCUGGAGACCGUAGGUGGACAUUAGAUCCUAGCUAGCUUUCUCUGUUUCUCUGUUUCGGUCAUUUGUUCUACCACCUAUGUGGGUUAAACCCAUCAACGCUGUUAGGCUAAUCUACCUUGUUAUUUAUGAAAUCGAAAUAUUCACAGUGAUAGUAUUUUUUUUUCUCUUUGGCCAUCAGUGACUUUAGAAGAGGAGGUAUUUCUGAAUAAGAUAUCUGUUCCACUUUGGGGAUUAAAGAGUUAAUACCUAGCAGCACUUUAAGGGAUGCAAAAGUACUUUUUCCAUAGUUGACUAAAAAAUAAAAUUGUUUCUAGUGCACCUUAUUGUUAUUGUCACCUAAGUUGUUCUUCUGUGUUUUUCACAAUUAUUCAAAUGCAUAGCGAAAAUUCCCUACUAAAGAUUUAUGACAAAUCACCCACCGUACCUUGUCCAGUAGUGUGUAUACGUGCAAAGUGAGCAAUUCUGCUUAAAAAGAACAUCUGAGGCAGCUUUGAGGGGUGAGUGACCUCAAUUUCCUUAUUUUUAAAAUUAGAUUGUUGAGCUAGGUGGUGUCUGGGAUUCCUAGGCAACUGGAAUGCUUCCUGAUUUAAAAAGUCAUCAGUAAAAAGCCAAAGACUAUGUAGAAGGGAGGAGCAGUAUUCACCCCUUACUUGCUGACAGGGAGCAGAUUCACAGGCAGAUAAACACCCAUCAGCUGGCAGGUGCCUCCCUCUCACCUCCUCUCUAAAUCUGCUUCCCAGAAUAAAGCCUGCCCAGUUUACAGAAUGCAUCAGUGCCUCACUGCCAGAGAGGAGACAAUUGGCUGGUCAUCAUAAUAAUCAGCAUGUAUUGAAAAGCAGCGAUGUGUGUGAGGAAGCUGGAAGAGUGCCCUGCCUGCUCAGUGGCCACCUAACUGAGCGAGACAUGGAGAGGAACGAGGAACUGGACUCAUAGGAAGCUAGUACUUACUACUAACAUUUAUGAGCACUGCAUAAACAUAUGUGAGUUAUCUUGUUUUGUUCUUC